AUUGAACGCUGGCGGCAGGCCUAGCACAUGCAAGUCGAACGGUAACAGGAAGAAGCUUGCUUCUUUGCUGACGAGUGGCGGACGGGUGAGUAAUGUCUGGGAAACUGCCUGAUGGAGGGGGAUAACUACUGGAAACGGUAGCUAAUACCGCAUAACGUCGCAAGACCAAAGAGGGGGACCUUCGGGCCUCUUGCCAUCGGAUGUGCCCAGAUGGGAUUAGCUAGUAGGUGGGGUAACGGCUCACCUAGGCGACGAUCCCUAGCUGGUCUGAGAGGAUGACCAGCCACACUGGAACUGAGACACGGUCCAGACUCCUACGGGAGGCAGCAGUGGGGAAUAUUGCACAAUGGGCGCAAGCCUGAUGCAGCCAUGCCGCGUGUAUGAAGAAGGCCUUCGGGUUGUAAAGUACUUUCAGCGGGGAGGAGGGGAGUAAAGUUAAUACCUUUGCUCAUUGACGUUACCCGCAGAAGAAGCACCGGCUAACUCCGUG
rnacentral:rRNA from 1 species